rnacentral:rRNA from 1 species
GACGAACGCUGGCGGCGUGCCUAAUACAUGCAAGUCGAGCGGACAGAAGGGAGCUUGCUCCCGGAAGUUAGCGGCGGACGGGUGAGUAACACGUGGGCAACCUACCCUGUAGAUCGGGAUAACAUCGAGAAAUCGGUGCUAAUACCGGAUAAUCAUUUGAAGUGCAUGCUUCGAAUGUAAAAGAUGGCUCCGGCUAUCACUACGGGAUGGGCCCGCGGCGCAUUAGCUAGUUGGUAAGGUAAUGGCUUACCAAGGCAACGAUGCGUAGCCGACCUGAGAGGGUGCUCGGCCACACUGGGACUGAGACACGGCCCAGACUCCUACGGGAGGCAGCAGUAGGGAAUCUUCAGCAAUGGACGAAAGUCUGACGGAGCAACGCCGCGUGAGUGAUGAAGUUUUUCGGAUCGUAAAGCUCUGUUGUUAGGGAAGAACAAGUGCCGUUUGAAUAAGGCGGCACCUUGACGGUACCUAACCAGAAAGCCACGGCUAACUACGUGCCAGCCGCCGCCGUAACAC